rnacentral:misc_RNA from 1 species
CUUUAUUAAUUUCUUAUAUAUAAUUUAUAUUAAAUAUAAAAAUAUAUUUUUUAAAUAAAAAGACGAUAAGACCCUAUUAAAUUUUACUUAUAGUUUAACUGGGGAAGUUUUAAAAAUAAAAUUUUUUAUAAAAAUAAAAAUAAAUCUAAUAAAAUUAAAAUUAAAUUAAAUUACUAUAGGGAUAACAGCAUUAUAUUUUUUAAAAGUUCAUAUUAAAAAAAAUGAUUGUGACCUCGAUGUUGAAUUAUAUUUUCUUUAUUAAUGCAAUAAUUAUAAAAGUAGAUCUGUUCGAUCUUUAAAAUAUUACAUGAUUUGAGUUCAAACCGGUGUAAACCAGGUUGGUUUCUAUCUUUUUAUAAAUUCAUAUAUAUAUAUAUAUAUAUACAUAAAUUUUUCAAGUACGAAAGGAAAAAAAAAUUUUUAUUUUAAUUAAUUAGCAAUUAAUAUGCAUUAGAUUUAGAAUCUAAAUAAACUAUU